ensembl:lncRNA
CUGUUCUUGAGCGGACUUGCGAUCCCCUGGUAACUCCAGGAAGGCAGAAGGACGGUGGGGGGGACAGAGCCCUAGAGCCCUGUGUAGCAGGAUUGGGAUGAGAAACACUGAAGGAGCUUCUCCUCAGCCUCCUCUGAUUCGCUCUUGGCUCUUCCUUCACUGUGUCCCAGCCUCUCUUUAACAUGUUCACAGUGGAGCUGUCAUUUGUAUUCUCACCACCAGGCAGCUUGAGCCUGCGGGCACCUGCAUGACUGUCCCAUGCGUGAUUGUCCCACUUCUACACUUGUGGUACGAGUCGCUGAUGGUGGGACAAUCUUGCCGAUACCAUGGGGGUUCGAGCUGGCGAGAACGUGUGGCCCCUUUCCUCCCGCUGGCUCUCCCAUGAGCCGCCUCCGUGAACACACCAAGGUCUGCAGAGCGCUGAGUCAGAUGCCUUGGCAGGCCCAGGUUGGAAAAUUAGAUAUUUAUCGCCAACUGGGAAAACAAUUCUUCUGCAAUCCCCUCAGGCACUGGGUGAUUAUGUAGAUGCUGGCUCACAAGACACAGAUGACACUUCGGUCUUGGGGAUCUUUGAUUCCCGAAACCACUCUCUCUGAUGGGGAGGGAGUGCAUGCCUCACUCGGAGCAGCUGGAGAACCGGCUCUCUGAAAUGGCCAGAACUCGGCAAUUCCAGGGCAGGCUCAGGCUCAAGCUCAUGCUGAAAGGCUGGUGUGGAGGACCUGAGGCUCCUGCUGGUUCUGUGGGUGGAUCUGUGGGGUUUUCAUAUGGUUCCCGCAUGGCUUCACAGGCCACUUCUUCACCGGACAGAGACUGCACCUGGAACUGUCCUCAAAUACUUGCGUGUUAGUGGGUGAUAAUGACUGUGUGGCCCACAGUCAACCUUCAGACUGGUGAUGUAGAUGUGACAUUAUCAUCUGUUUCUGUGACCUGGCAAGAGCGUGGGAGGUGACAUUCCUGGGAGUCAUCUGAAGAAUUAAGGGGGUCUCAUCUCUGCCCCAAAUGCUAGGGGCUGGGCUGGAAAGAUGACCACUCAGCUGGAUGUCUGGGUCUGUGGAUCUUACACCAAUCAGUUAUGAGCUUUGGAGAUGGAGAAUCCUUUCUCUUGUGUCUCGGAUGUGGUACAGAGAGAGGCUGAGACCCUAAGCCACUCCUGUUCCUUGCUGGAGUGUGUUUAACACCUUGGCAAAGACAGCCGUUUACACUGUGCCCGGCAUGGAGCCAGCCUCCAGUAAAUAUCAGACCAUGUUUUUUCACAUUACACGUUUUGUGGGCUCAGGCCCCAGCGGGAGAAACUGGAGCACUGGAUUUGGAAGCCUCGAUGUGAAUGUGGACUUGGGCACUCUGAACAGGUCCCUGAGCCAUCUUGGACUGUGGACGCUCGCUCUGUGUAGGGCUGUAGUGCCAGUGCCAAGGGAGGAUGCUUCCCCGAAGGCAAGCGCUUCGUUUAGGGAAGAAACGGGAGGGGGCUGUGCCGUACUGAGCAUGAGGAGCCCCAGUAUCCUGUCUAACGUCGUGCAGCUUUUCUGACACCAACUCUCAAACUGAAGCAAAUCCCUCCUCGAUGGUAUGUAAUUUUGGGGAAUUUGGAACACAAGCACAUCUCUCAAAGGUUGUGUCUCAAUGUUUUAUGCUGGUCUGGUGCCACCCACUCCUGGAGCUUGUGGUGAGAUGGAAACAAGGUUUUAUUGUGGGCUGGGAGGCCCGCAGUCUUUCCUAAGUUUGCUUUUAUUUUGCUCUACAUCCUUGGGCAGCUACUUUCCUUCUCUGGUCCUCAGUUUCCCCCUUUUUAAAUCUAAAAGCAUGACAAAGCGGAUGUGGUUCAAAUUUAUAAAAGAAUUAUUUCUAUGGAAUACAAAUGGAUUCUUUCGUGGAGGUGAACAUGCUUUUGUGGAAUCCAGUGCAUAGACGGUAAAAGCUGCCCGGGUCUGUGUCAGCGUCCCCGGGGUGACCCUAACAACUCCAUGUUUCUAUGGAUCUCAACUUGGAAACUGCAGAAGAGGAUCUUCAGCCUUGUGCUGAGCGUUGUCAUUGCACAGACAAGUGUCGCAUAGUAGAUACGAAGCCCUGGUGGAGGAGAUCUGGACAGGUUCGGGACUGGGCUGGGGCCUUCCUGGAGCUAAGUGGAGGCAGGAGUGGAAACUGUCUUAGGGAGGAUGGCCAGGCGGCUUCCUGUGACACACUAGAGGAAGCUGCCCAGGGACCUCGUGGAGGAGAUUAGAGCCUCGCGCUCUGGCCGGCAUCAGGCUGGAGGUGACCGGAAAUGGCAGGCAGGCUGGGAUCGGGGUAUGGCUGCCUUUACCUCGCCAGGGACAUUUCAGAGAAACGCCUCGGGGAGUCCUACUUACUGCUUCUCCUCUGAAUGCAUAGAUGUACGUGCUUGUGCCUUUUGGAACAAAUCAAACCACCUUUGGGGUGAGUGGAGAAUAUUUCUAUGUCCCUUUCUGCCAGGACAAAUGUCACCUGGCUUUGGGAGUCCAGUCUACUGAGGGCCCUCCGGACAGUGGCCGCUCCUACACUGGUGGCCUCACCUUUACCUUGGCCAAUUUCAGCCCAGUAACUGGAGAUUAUGUUACGUGGCAUGGUGGAAGAGACUUUGCAGAUGGGAUUAGGUUAAGGGCCUUGAGAUAAUGAGGAGGGAUUAUACCGAAUGCUCUGAUAUAUCCUAGGUGGCUGGAUGCACUCCCUGGGCCUCUAAAGGAAAGAAGCAGGGAGGGAGGAGGCGUGGCGGUAGAAGCAGAGACUGGAGUGAUGCAUUUUUGGUGCAUUGAGGAAACAAACACAGGAGGUCACCAAUCAGGUGACUCAGCCACGGACCCACAUGCUGAAGCAGAAGCCUGGGUCCAUUCUAAGGAGGUGGCCAAGGCCACAGUGGAGGAGCACAGGUGACCACCAGAAGCUGGAGAAGCCAAGGAAACGAAUUUGUCUCCUUUCCUUCCUUUCCCUCUCAAGGAGAGAGACUGUGCCUGCAGACAUCUGCCUCUGGUCAGCCCUGUUCCCGAGAAGCCUGGGGAGGAGAGGCAUUCAUGGCGCUCAGUACUUUCCGAAGCAAACUGGGAUUCUGCUGGUGGGGAGAGAGGUGAAGAAUGGUGCGAAUGCACUUGCAUCUGCCAAGCGCUCAGGAGACGUUUGCCAGAGGCCUCGAGGGACACUGGAGGCGGGGAAACUGGAUCAGGGCACAGAGCUGAACCUGGGUCCCUGUGCGGUCUGACUCGGGCAGCUUGGUGGUGGAGCAGGACGUGGAACACGGGGUGGUUUGGGGUCUUCUGGGUCCAGGAGCCUGUGGUCCAGUCGCUCCUCCUGCAGCUUCUCCGGCUGCUCUGCUGGGAAGCAGUGAUGUGCCAGACCCCCCGUGGCAGAUCUGCUCUUUCCCCUCCUCACCCCUUUCUCUCUGGGCCAACGUUCCCAGGGUCAAACCUGCAGCCUCCAGCCUGGGGCCUCUGCUCCUGGAUCUGUGGCAAAGGCCUUGCUGUACAUGGUCAGUUUGUUCUUCGUAGGGCAGAAGGAAAAGCUUCCGUGUGUGGUGCUCUGUGUUCCAAGCCACAGCCCGGGCUUCUCUGCUUCAGAUGCUGGGUCCCUCUGCAUGGGUGACCACGUGGGGACCCGAGGGCCGGGGAGUCGUGGGGUCCACGUUAGGAAGGGCCUGGGUUUCCACAUCUCCAUGCAGAACGGUGACAUGGGUGACAGCAGUAACCUCCCUGUGUCCCUCUUGGGGAGCUGGGCUGUCUGCUCCAGCAUGUGCCAUCCUUGACACUGAACCAGCACAGUCUGCUUGCCUUCCUCCCACAGGAAGUCCUGUGUCGAGGUUUACAGAAGCCUUCGGAAUAAGGCUAAGUUCACAACUUCCGCUAAUUGGCUGUGUGACUUGGGGUACGUUACUUCGCUUCUCUGUACCCUGAAAACAUAAUAAUGUCAGAUAAUGAACCAAACCAACUGCAUUCUGCAUACUGUUGUGGGGGUCGAAGGGAAGACCUAUGUACUGCGCUUGGGUAGUUGUGUCUGGUCCAUAGUAAACAUGGUGUAAGAAUGGCCUGUUACUGUUCCCAUCCACCUCACCCUUCAGCCACUCCAGUACCCCAGCAUGGGGCCAGCCAGAGCCAAGGUGUUGAUUUGAUUCCUCUUGGCUCUUUCUCCUCUUGGCAUUUUCUCAGGGACGAUGGUGACUGCACCCACACCAGCAUUUUGCAAUAGAGCACUGUAGUCUGCUUGUACUUCUACAGAGCUUUGUUUCACUUUCUGCUGUUUCUCUAUUUGGAGUGGAAGCCUUUUGAAAGCAGAGACCGACAGAUAACUAUUGAUUCCUAACUAAGCAGUGUCGGGUUGAGAGUGAGGAGCGAUGAGACUUGUACUGUAGGAGGUAGAAAUGUUUGGACCCCAAGAUGGCACCAUGCCUGCCCAUCUCCAGACCACAGGGGACCUGAGCAAGAGCAGUAAAGAACACAAGGCCUGGGAUUUAGCUCAGUGGUUUCGUCACCUGCUGCGCAAGCUCCAGGACCCGAGUUCGAUCCCAGGUACCAAAAAAAUAAAAGAACACAAAACACAGCCACGGCCCCGCAUCCUAGCAUGGAACAGCAUCUGACUGACUGUUCGGAAGUUUUGGUUGCUGCCAUGUGCGUAUCUUAGAUGCUGAUGUGAUUAUCCUAGCUAGUAUUUAUGAAGCACUAUGCUGCAAUUUCUUCUUCAAUGCUCACACCACUUGUGGGUGCCAUUAUUUUUCUCACUUUGCAGCAUCGAAGAGGCUGAGUGACAUACUUCAUGUCACACAAUUAAGAAGCCUACGAUCCGACUUCACGCAGGGAUCUGGGGACAGGGGCACAGGGGAGUCCUCGACAGGUGUUUGUGCAGAGGCAAAUGGCGGGGAGGCUUUGAAGAAAACUGCACAAGAUUUGCAGAGACCUUUGAGGGUCUGGUGUGGCCUCCAGAUGGCAUCUGCCAUCACAGGGCCUGGGGCACAAUCUCUGCAAGGCUCAGAAAGAACAUCUGCACUUCAAUAACAAAAUCCUUGGAAAAAAUCAUGUUGCAAAAGGAAAUCUUGACAUGGUUCCACCGUGGCGUGGUCGGGGGAGACAGGGGAGCCUGAAGUCCUCCGGUAAACUGCUUAGAGUCUGCAGGGCUGCUUCCCUUCCUUCUUGAUGUGUGUGAAAGACAGAGCAAGUAAUCCCUUUUCUCAAACUUCUGCUCACCCCGAGAACUUGACUCUGAGAGAAGAGGAAGAAUUGGGUGAGGUGCAGUCGGACUGCACACUCAGGAUGAGGGUCUCUGCUUAGCACCCGGUGGGCUCUGUGGUCCAUGUGGAACAGUCUUGUGCAAGGGAUUGUGCUGUGGUGUUCAGUUCCCUACACAUGUGAUCAAACAUUCCUUCAACAUCCAUCAGAGUCAAGAGCCGAAAUGGUCUCACUUCAGUUGGAUAUAAAAAUCUCUAUGUAAUGGAAUACUACUCAGCUAUAAGGAAGGAUAAACUUGAGACUUUCUUAGGAAAAUCGAUAUCCCUUGAAAAUACAAUGUUGAGUGAAAUAAAUCAGACACACAAGCUUAAAUACCAUACGAUAGCUCUCAUGUGAGUAAGGCAAAGCACAAAUAAACAGCAAAAUAAAAGAUGAGUAGAAGAAAACAAGAGGAUCAAAUGGGAAAGGGUCCAGGAGACCAACAGCAAAGGGAGAGGAGAGAAGCAGGGGAAGAAAGAUUUAAGAUAUGUGUGUACAGGUACCAAAUACCCACCAUGAACAUUACAAACAUUAUGUGUCAUAAACAUGAGCUGAGAAUAACAGUAACAAAAAUGAAAACAGGAAGAAGAGAUUUAGACUUUAAACUACAAAUCAAGGGAAGGAGGAGGUGGGGAAGGGAAGAGGUUAAAAAAAGAAACAAGUUUGUGAUGCAUAUGUACCCACUCCCUAAGUUGAAUGCAAACCUCACACUGCAAAGAGGUACUAAUAAAGUAAAAAUUAAAAUAAAAGCUCUGUUUAUCUCAGGUUUGACCAAGAAUUAAGUAUCUGUGCUGGAAAAUAAAGGAGAGAGGAAGGGAGGGAAAAAACAUAGAAUCACCUAUAAAAGAUAAGUUUUACUUUAUAUUUCAUAAAUAACAUUUUAAAUGCACACACACAGGCCUAUAAGAAAUCAAGAAACCAACACACUUCUAUUAUUUUUGAUACUGUAAGUGUAUAGUUUAGCCUGAUUAUGUCAGUGAGAAACUUAUUUUCUAAAGUCUUGUAUAACUCGCUAUAGGGUACAUUUUAAUUUUUCUUGCUUUGGUUGAUGAUUUCAACAUCAACAUUUCAAGUAUUCAACAGCAUCAGUACAUUUUUAUGCUUUAAGUAGCACCCAAAAGUAUAAUUUACAACUUUUAUUUAAAUUAAAUAUAGCAAGCCUACCUUUAGAAAAAUUAAAUUUCAUUUUGUCUUGAGGCCGAUGCUUAACAGAAAUGUAUUGUGAUUUCCUUAUGAGUUUUAAAAAUCAAUGGAAAGGAAAAAUUAAUGCCAACAUGUAAGUGUAAUUCAAUAAAGUAUGACUAGAAAUAGGAUUUUUAGUUUUAAAUGAGGAAAAUUAAAUCCCUACUCUUGUAUAUGUCAUAUAGCACACACUAUUAAUAUCUUGUGUAGUAGAAAUUUAAGAAUUUUAGUAUUGCUUAAAUAAAUUAAAAAUUUAAAUGGAAAGUUAAAAAAGAGGAGAGAUUAAAAUUUCUAAAUAACUAUACUCCUGACCUGCAUUAGAAUUGAUAUUCUUUAUGGAAAGGGAGGAAUCUCAGGAGAGGAUUAAUAGUGUUAGGGUUUGUGUCCAGAUGUCCCCCCAGAGUCUCAUGUGGUCAUAGGUGGGGCUUUUUCAGAGGUGGCUGGAUCUAGAGUGUGUGAUGCUGGAACUGAUUCAUGGUGCAAUGGUAGCAUCAAGGGCACUAGGAAUAAGGGUGUGAGUGUUACCUGCCCUAAAUAGCCUGGAUAAAAUAUAAGGGAUAGAAAGAGCUGUAGUUGUCCUUGUUGCUUUGGUGCCUUCUGCCUACCAUGAACUGUUUCUCUUCUGCAAUGCCCCUCUGCCAUACCGCCCUGCCUUGGAGCCAGCUGGUUAUGGACUGAAACCUCUAAACACUGUGAGCUAAAUAAACCUUUCCCCCUUUAACUUUGGGUGUUGGAUAUUUUGUCUCAGCAAUGAGAGAAAAAUAACUAAGACAAAUAGGUAGGUCAAACAGAAAAUGGAAUAGAAUCAACAGCAACAAAACAGAGUCACAGAAAAUAUUCUACCUCCAAAUAGCAAUGACAACAAAUUAUUAUUGGACUCUGAGAUCUACAAGUUACUAAUUAUGCAAAUAUACCAGGAAUUGCAGACAUAAUACUUUUUAGGUUCUUUGAGGCCUGAAAAUUAUUUCAAGGGUUAGGAAGGUAGUCUAGAAGCUCUCUGGUUCAGUUUUACAAGAGCUGGUGCUCACUGCUUCCACUCACAGGACAGAGGGUAGGUAGUGACUCCAGUAUCCAGAGCUCCUUUUCCAUGGAUGCCCUGCCAGCCCCAUUUCCGGUCUAGGCUCACUUUCUGACUCCUCCACUUUCUAUUUCCUGGGAACCUUCAGGGCUCUAGGCAUGAACUGGCUUGCCUCUCAUUGGCUCCUGUCUCUGCCAAUACACCCUUGAGUGCUCUUCAUUGGUUGCUUUCUCUGUCAAUACCCUUGGCUGCUGCUUAUUGACUACUGACUCUAUCAUUGGCUAAUUUCCCAUAGCUGGGAUGGGUGGGAUCCCUGCAGAAAAUCACCAAAAUGGAUGAUGUUGCAUUUCUCAGUUGCCUCUCACUCGCUCUGAGCCAGGGCUGGCCAUCGUGCUCUCCUCUUCUCUGUCCCUCUUUUCUUAGACUUCACCCUCUCCCAGCUUCCUGGGUCCAUUCCAGCCCCUCAUCCCCACCCCUUCCCCCAACUCACCAGUGCCCUAGUAUUUAUUUAUGGAGUGGCUUAUCUUACUUGAGGAUGAUCCAGGUCCCCUCCCUCUCAGAAGCCUUAUUCAUCACUUCUGCUACAAGUCCUGGGUGGAUUAUACUGUACUAAUAGAUGGCGACUCACACGGACCACACAGUCAUACAGCCCCA